UACGAGGGGGGCAAAUGUUGUUCGGAAUCACUGGGCGUAAAGGGAGCGUAGGCGGGUGUUUAAGUUAGGUGUUUAAUCCUGGGGCCCAACCCCAGUCGUGCACCUAAAACUGGACAUCUUGAAUAGUGGAGAGGUCAGUGGAAUUGGGGGUGUAGCGGUGAAAUGCGCAGAUAUCAGGAAGAACACCCGUGGCUAAGGCGGCUCUCUAGUACGGUACUGACGCUGAGACGCGAAAGCGUGGGGAGCGAACAGG
rnacentral:rRNA from 1 species